rnacentral:rRNA from 1 species
AGAGUUUGAUCAUGGCUCAGAUUGAACGCUGGCGGAAUGCUUUACACAUGCAAGUCGAGCGGCAGCACGGGGGCAACCCUGGUGGCGAGCGGCGAACGGGUGAGUAAUACAUCGGAACAUGCCCAGUCGUGGGGGAUAACACUUCGAAAGAAGUGCUAAUACCGCAUACGUCCUGAGGGAGAAAGCGGGGGAUCGCAAGACCUCGCGCGAUUGGAGUGGCCGAUGUCAGAUUAGCUAGUUGGUGGGGUAAAGGCCUACCAAGGCAACGAUCUGUAGCUGGUCUGAGAGGAUGAUCAGCCACACUGGGACUGAGACACGGCCCAGACUCCUACGGGAGGCAGCAGUGGGGAAUUUUGGACAAUGGGGGCAACCCUGAUCCAGCCAUUCCGCGUGAGUGAAGAAGGCCUUCGGGUUGUAAAGCUCUUUCGGCAGGAACGAAACGGUGAGCUCUAACAUAGCUUGCUAAUGACGGUACCUGAAGAAGAAGCACCGGCUAACUACGUGCCAGCAGCCGCGGUAAUACGUAGGGUGCGAGCGUUAAUCGGAAUUACUGGGCGUAAAGCGUGCGCAGGCGGUUGUGUAAGACAGGUGUGAAAUCCCCGGGCUUAAC